rnacentral:tRNA from 1 species
GAAGUAUUAGUAUAAUUGGAAGUACGCCUUGCUUAAAAACAGGAAACCUGAGUUCGAUUCUCAGAUACUUCA